AACGAACGCUGGCGGCAGGCCUAACACAUGCAAGUCGAGCGAAGCCUUCGGGCUUAGCGGCGGACGGGUGAGUAACGCGUGGGAACGUGCCCUUUGGUACGGAGUAGCCCCGGGAAACUGGGAGUAAUACCGUAUGUGGUCGAGAGACGAAAGAUUUAUCGCCAAAGGAUCGGCCCGCGUUGGAUUAGGUAGUUGGUGGGGUAAUGGCCUGCCAAGCCGACGAUCCAUAGCUGGUUUGAGAGGAUGAUCAGCCACACUGGGACUGAGACACGGCCCAGACUCCUACGGGAGGCAGCAGUGGGGAAUCUUAGACAAUGGGGGAAACCCUGAUCUAGCCAUGCCGCGUGAUCGAUGAAGGCCUUAGGGUUGUAAAGAUCUUUCAGUGGGGAAGAUAAUGACUGUACCCACAGAAGAAGCCCCGGCUAACUCCGUGCCAGCCGCCGCAGUAAUAC
rnacentral:rRNA from 1 species